CAUCCUUCAAGUCCGUGUGACGCGAUUCUUCCUGGAUGCUGGAUAAGGGCCCAGGAAGGGAGAGAAAGAGUCGAUCAAGUGGCCAGCUGUGUCACUAGCUCAGGCCCCAGGCCAACUCACACAAGCUACCAGAAGAAAGACAUCUGCAAUUUUAAGAUGUUUCUUACAGGCAACUCUAACAGCAGGUAGAAGACAUGACACAGCAUGGAUGAAUUGUCUGCAUUGGUAUUGACCAAAGUCAGUGACACAAAGA
rnacentral:lncRNA from 10 species